rnacentral:rRNA from 1 species
UGUUUGAUGUUCUAACGUGGACCCGUGAUCCGGGUUGCGGACAGUGUCUGGUGGGUAGUUUGACUGGGGCGGUCUCCUCCUAAAGAGUAACGGAGGAGCACGAAGGUUGGCUAAUCCUGGUCGGACAUCAGGAGGUUAGUGCAAUGGCAUAAGCCAGCUUGACUGCGAGCGUGACGGCGCGAGCAGGUGCGAAAGCAGGUCAUAGUGAUCCGGUGGUUCUGAAUGGAAGGGCCAUCGCUCAACGGAUAAAAGGUACUCCGGGGAUAACAGGCUGAUACCGCCCAAGAGUUCAUAUCGACGGCGGUGUUUGGCACCUCGAUGUCGGCUCAUCACAUCCUGGGGCUGAAGUAGGUCCCAAGGGUAUGGCUGUUCGCCAUUUAAAGUGGUACGCGAGCUGGGUUUAGAACGUCGUGAGACAGUUCGGUCCCUAUCUGCCGUGGGCGCUGGAGAACUGAGGGGGGCUGCUCCUAGUACGAGAGGACCGGAGUGGACGCAUCACUGGUGUUCGGGUUGUCAUGCCAAUGGCACUGCCCGGUAGCUAAAUGCGGAAGAGAUAAGUGCUGAAAGCAUCUAAGCACGAAACUUGCCCCGAGAUGAGUUCUCCCUGAGACUUUAAGUCUCCUGAAGGAACGUUGAAGACGACGACGUUGA